rnacentral:lncRNA from 1 species
GGCAUUCAUCAUGAGACUUUUGGUACCCUUGGAGGAGGGGAUUUUAGAACCAGCAUUCUUUGGAUUAAGUUGGGUGAAAGAGAAAAGAGGGACAUCAUUUCUGAGUGGGGGCAGGGCCCACCACAAUCCCUUCUUUACACAUAGUAGGUACUCAAUAGAUCUUUGUUGGACCUGUGAGUCUUAUUUGUAUCCUGAUUUGCUAAUACUAACUCUUUGAGAUUUUGUGCUAUUUGUUUGCAUGUGAAUAGCUCAAAACUUGUGGGUUGUAAUUAGAACAUAGUGUUAAUAGUGAAUCUCCAAUGAGUCUGUUUCUUAGUUUAUGUUAGUCUCUUUUCCUCUCUCUUUACCAGAUUUGCUUUCGAACAUGUGCACAUGAUACCUCUGCCUGCGUUGGGAUGUGCUCAGGAAAGAGUAAGAGGUGUGUGUGUGAGAGAGAGUGUGUGUGAAAGAGAAUGAGAGAAGUAGAGAGGGAGAAUGUGGUGUCUGGUAUCUAACCCAGGGCUUCACUUAUGCUAUCAAAGUACUACAUUUAUAGCCUCCAAGCUAUAUUUACCCUGUCUGAGAGAUAAUUUUAUUUUUCACAGUACUGGGUAUUGAACCAGGAGUGUUCUACCACUGAGCUACGUCCCUAGCCUUUUUUAUUUAAUAAAAAAAAAUUUAUUUGUUCUUUUUAGUUUUAUAUAACAGGAGAAUAUAUUUUGACAUAUCAUACAAACAUGGAGUAUAACUUCCUAUUCUUGUGGUUGUACAUGAUGUGGAAUUACACUGGUUGGAUAUUCAUAUGUGAACAUAGGAAAAUUAUGUCUGAUUCAUUCUACUGUCUUUCCCAUUCCCAUCCCCACUCCCUUCUUCCCAUUCCCCAAUGUCCAACCUUCAUUCCCCUGAACCCCUCAUUGUGAGUCAGCAUCCUCAUAUCAGAGAGAACAUUUGGCUUUGAUUUUGGGUAAAUCUGUUUAUUUCACUUAGGAUGGUAGUCUCAAGUUCUAUCCAUUUACCCGCAAGUGCCGUAAUUUCAUGCUUCUUUAUAGUUGAGUAAUAUUCCAUUGUGUAUAUGUUUCACGAACUUUUUAUUUUGAGACAGGGUCUUGGUAAGUUGCUGAGGCUGGCCUUGAGCCUGUAAUUUUUAUGCCUCAGCCUCAUUGGGAUUACAGGUGUGCACUACUAUACCCAGCCUAAGAGGUUUUUUUUUUUUUGGGUGGGGAAUACCAGGGAAUGAACUCAGGGGCACUUGACUACUGAGCCACAUCUCUAGCCCUAUUUUAUAUUUUAUUGCGAGACCGGGUCUCAUUGAGUUCCUUAGUGCCUCAUCAUUGCUGAGGCUGGCUUUGAACUCGGCGAUCCUCCUGCUUCAGCCUCCUGAGAAGCUGGCAAGAGGUUUUUGGUUUAUUUUUUGGUACCAGGGAUUGAACCCAAGGGCAAUUCCUCCUUGCUAAAUUGCUGAGCUAGCUUUGAAUUUGCAAUCCUCCUGCCUCAGCUUCCCAAACCAAUGGGAUUGUUAAGUGCCCAGUUUAGGGAUAAAUUUAAAGUAUCCAAAUGGGAUUUAAAGGUAUAAAUGACAUGUAACUACUAGUGUGAUUAUCUUACUUAAAGAACUUCAUCAACUUUUAUCAGUUGUCAUAGUAAAUAAAGGAGCAUUGUGUAUUCAAGGUUUAAAGAAGCCCUUGACGGGCUGGGGAUAUAGCUCAGUUGGUAGAGUGCUUGUCUCACAAGCACAAGGCCCUGGGUUCAAUCCCCAGCACACACACACACACACACACACACACACAAAAAGAUUCCUUUGGCCUAUAGUAGAUUGCUUGACUAGCAUGUGCAAAGCCCUGGGCUCCCUCCUCUGAGUUUGAUGCCUAGUACCCACCACACAACCACACACACCAAAGAAUUCCUUAGUAUAAAUUUUUGUGUAUGUCUAUUAUACUUCUCUUUGGAAGUAAACAUUUUCUCAGUUUCAAAUAAUAGUAAAUAUUCUAUUUCAAAUGAGAACGACUUACAAUAUUUUUGUUAUUGUUAUUAUUUCAGACCAAAACCUGGUGCAACUGAACUUGACAAUACAUCCAGAUUCUCUGCAGAAGUGAGACUUUCCAAAGGACCAAUGACUCUGUUUCCUGUGUCCUUUCAUUUUUUCCUACUCCAUAACUAUGUCUCGAUCCCGCCAUGCAAAACCUUCCAAAUUGGUCAGAAAGGAAGAUUUAACCAAAAAGAAAAACAUCCAGCUGAAGAAGACAUCCAAGCCAGCCAACAAAAAUGUGACAUCUGUCAAGACUGUGAGCCUUGGGAAAGUAAAGCAAUUCCUUCAAGAAGGAGAUGUUAAGAAAAAAACAGAUCCUAAACCACCUACGCCAGUCAGAAGCCUUCUGACAAGAGCUGGAGCAGCCCGAAUGAAUUUGGACAGGACAGAGGUUCUUUUUCAGAACCCAGAGUCCUUAACUUGCAAUGGCUUUACAAUGGCUCUCCGAAGCACCUCUCUUAGCAGGCGGCUUUCUCAACCCCCAGUGGUUACAUCUAAACCCAAGAAAGUUCCACCUUCCAAGAGUUUAGAAAAGCAACAUGAGUCUGACUAUAAGGUAGUCAAUGAUACGGGAGGAAAGUGCUCAGAAAAUGAUUUGGUCCCCAUCCAAGAUCAAGAUCCCCUCAUCCUCCCUGAUAUAGAGAAUCUAAUCAGUGUACAACAUACAUCUUUAAUUGAAGGUGAGAGUCAAGAGACAACUCAGUCUUGGUCUCAAGGGAUAGAGGAUACCAAAUUCCAUGUACCUGUUCAUAGUAGCCCUGCAGCAGGGAUCCUUUCUGGGCCAUUGGAAGGGACACAUUGUGGUGAAGGACUAUUCUCUGAACAGAUAUCAAAUGGUAUCAGUGAUUCUCCUGGAAUGUUUGCUCAGGACACUGUAGGUGCUCCGUUAAUCCAAAGAUCAGCCCCCGAAGUUACCUCUGAAAGUACCAUUCAGUUAGAAGAUUUGGGUUCCCAAGUACAAUCUCUGAAGCUAACUGAUUCUUAUCUGGAACCCAUGAAGAGUGAACCUACUUGUUUCCCAUCUCCCAGUUUUAAUAAGAUUAUACCUGAAUUAGAUGUUAGAAAUUGCUUGUCUCUUGGUGGGUCUGUAUAUCCCAACACUCUAAUAAAACUCCUCUUGGCAGGCUCAGAACCAGAAACCCUUGGUGCUAAACCAGAUCAUCCAGGGGCCUUCAAAUCUACCCUAGAUCAAGAGGAAGUUCCUGAUACCACCUCUGCCCUAAGACAGGCCUUCAGUGCUAUCCCUCAUCAAUGGGAAUUUCCUGGUGCUAACCCAGUUCAUGGUGAGGCUCUCCGUGAGACCCCAGACCCACCAGAGAUUCCUGGUGCUAUUUCGGUCCAAGGAGAAGUCUUUGGUACUAUCCCAAACCAACAAGGAAUGCAUGGUGUGGUUGGGGAUGCUGCCCCAGACCUGCCUACUUUUCUUCCUAUUCUUCCAACUGCUACUUGUAAUGCUCCCCUCAACCUCAAAUGGCCUGAGCCCCAGAGCGCUGUCCCAUAUGGGCUUGAGGUCCAGAGUACUAUGCCAGUUUUGCCUCUGGGCUCAGGACACACUCCUCAAUUAUCAUCAAACUCCGAGUUAGGUUCCAUACCUCCAUGGACAACUGCAAGCAAUGUAGAAAAUGAGAAGCACGUUCCAAGAAGCCUUCUGCCAGCUCACACUCAGGGGUUCACUUCCACCCCUGUUUCACUGGGUGUGACCCCAGUCUCCCAAGCCAAUCCCAGCAUAUCCGAAGGAGGAAAUUCCCAGGUUAGCAUGACCAGCUUGGCUGAUGUUAACACCACAGGGACAUCUGUGCCAGUGUCAGUUGCCAAUACCACCUCUUCUCCCUCUACCACCUUGCUACCAACUUUGGAAAGAAAGAAACGAAAGCGAUGUGGGGUCUGUGAGCCCUGCCAGCAGAAGGACAACUGUGGCGAAUGUACUUACUGCAAGAAUAGAAAGAAUAGCCAUCAGAUCUGCAAGAAGAGGAAAUGUGAGGAGCUGAAAAAGAAGCCAUCUGUGGCUUUGGAGGUAAGCAAAGGGUCAAAGGCCUGGGAGACAAC